UCGAACGAGAAAGUGGAGCAAUCCAUGAGUAAAGUGGCGCACGGGUGAGUAACACGUGACUAACCUACCCUUGAGUGGGGAAUAACUUCGGGAAACCGAGGCUAAUACCGCAUAACACCUACGGGUCAAAGGAGCAAUUCGCUUAAGGAGGGGGUCGCGGCAGAUUAGUUAGUUGGCGGGGUAAUGGCCCACCAAGACGGUGAUCUGUAUCCGGCCUGAGAGGGCGCACGGACACACUGGAACUGAAACACGGUCCAGACUCCUACGGGAGGCAGCAGUGGGGAAUUUUGCGCAAUGGGGGAAACCCUGACGCAGCAACGCCGCGUGGAGGAUGAAGUCCCUUGGGACGUAAACUCCUUUCGAUCGGGACGAUUAUGACGGUACCGGAAGAAGAAGCCCCGGCUAACUUCGUGCCAGCAGCCGCGGUAAUACGAGGGGGGCGAGCGUUGUUCGGAAUUAUUGGGCGUAAAGGGCGCGUAGGCGGUCGGAUAAGUCUUGUGUGAAAUCUUCGGGCUCAACUCGAAGUCUGCACGAGAAACUGUCCGGCUUGAGUGUGGGA
rnacentral:rRNA from 1 species